CCCAGAUUCCCAAACCUUUGGGAUUUUCCUGUGGAGAUCCCAGAUUCCCAAACCUUUGGGAUUUUCCCAUUGAGAUCCCAGAUUCUCAAACCUUUGGGAUUUUCCCAUUGAGAUCCCAGAUUCCCAAACCUUUGGGAUUUUCCUGUGGAGAUCCCAGAUUCCCAAACCUUUGGGAUUUUCCCAUUGAGAUCCCAGAUUCUCAAACCUUUGGUAUUUUCCCGUCGAGAUCCCAGAUUCCCAAACCUUUGCGAUUUUCCUCUGAAGAUCCCAAAUUCCCAAACCUUUGGGAUUUUCCCGUUGAGAUCCCAGAUUCCCAAACCUUUGGGAUUUUCCUCUGAAGAUCCCAAAUUCCCAAACCUUUGGGAUUUUCCCGUUGGGAUCCCAGAUUCCCAAACCUUUGGGAUUUUGGGAUUUUCCUGUGGAGAUCCCAGAUUCCCAAACCUUUGGGAUUUUCCUGUGGAGAUCCCAGAUUCCCAAACCUUUGGGAUUUUCCUGUGGAGAUCCCAGAUUCCCAAACCUUUGAGAUUUUCCCAUGGCGAUCCCAAAUCCCUCAGGAUUUUCCCGUUGCCAUCCCAUCCCUUCAGAAUUGUCGAGCUUUUCCAACCCUUGGGAAUUUCCCGUCUUUUCCGACCCUUGGGAAUUUCCCGUCUUUUCCGACCCUUGGGAAUUCUCCCGUGGAGCUUUUCCAACCUUUCCCGGCGAGGUUCCUCUCCCUCCGUCUCCGUUGGAUCCUGGGAUCAGCCGCGGUGGGGGGAGGGAGGAAAAUUCCCCGCUGGGAGCGGAACCGCGACGGAAAAUCCCUUUAAAUCCCUUUAUCCGCUUUUUGUCGCGGCCGUCGCUUCUUUUCCCGCUUUUUUCUUUUUUUUCCCCCUUUCCCAAAUCCUGAUUUUCCUUUGGAUCUCACUCAAACUCCGCCGAGCCCUCGCGGUUUUCGCCGGCGCGGCCGGAUUUCUGUUCAUGAGGAAUCAUCGAACCUGUUUUGCCCACGAAAAUCCUGGCGGGAUUCGCGUCUUAGGGAACGACGAAAACUCCGGGAAUUCGGGAAUGUGGGGAUUGGGGAAUGUGGGGAUUGGGGAACGUGGGGAUGGGGGAAUGUGGGAAUUGGGGGAUGUGGGGAUUUGGGGAUUCGGGAAUGUGGGGAUUGGGGAAUAUGGGAAUUGCUGAGGCUUUGCCCCGCAGCAGAGCCGGAUCGAGGAUCGCCUGGAGCGCCUGGAUGACGCCAUCCACGUCCUUCGGAAUCACGCGGUGGGAGCCGCGCCCGCCAUGGCCGGAGCGCACGGAGACGUGCACGGAAUCAUCGGAGCCGCCCACAACGGAGCCAUGGCCGGGCUGGCUUCCGGCUACGGCGGCGGCCUGCUGGGCAGCCGGCACGCGCUGAUGGUGAGCGGGAAUAAUAGCGGGAAUGUGGGAAUAACAACGGGAAUGUGGGAAUGACAGGAACAUCUCAAGGAGAUGGGAAUGGAAAUGGGAAUAUCCCAGUGGGAGAUGCUGAAUGGGAAGAGGAAUAGGAAUGGGAAUGGGAAGAGGAAUAGGA
rnacentral:lncRNA from 1 species